rnacentral:rRNA from 1 species
ACGAACGCUGGCGGCGUGCCUAAUACCUGCAAGUUGAGCGCUGAAGGUUGGUACUUGUACCAACUGGAUGAGCAGCGAACGGGUGAGUAACGCGUGGGGAAUCUGCCUUUGAGCGGGGGACAACAUUUGGAAACGAAUGCUAAUACCGCAUAAAAACUUUAAACACAAGUUUUAAGUUUGAAAGAUGCAAUUGCAUCACUCAAAGAUGAUCCCGCGUUGUAUUAGCUAGUUGGUGAGGUAAAGGCCCACCAAGGCGAUGAUACAUAGCCGACCUGCGAGGGUGAUCGGCCACAUUGGGACUGAGACACGGCCCAAACUCCUACGGGAGGCAGCAGUAGGGAAUCUUCGGCAAUGGACGGAAGUCUGACCGAGCAACGCCGCGUGAGUGAAGAAGGUUGUCGGAUCGUAAAACUCUGUUGGUAGAGAAGAACGUGGGUGAGAGUGGAAAGCUCAUCAAGUGACGGUAACUACCCAGAAAGGGACGGCUAACUACGUG